CCUACGGGAGGCAGCAGUAGGGAAUCUUCCACAAUGGACGAAAGUCUGAUGGAGCAACGCCGCGUGAGUGAAGAAGGGUUUCGUCUCGUAAAGCUCUGUUGGUAGGGAAGAAAGAUAGAGGUAGUAACUGGCCUGUAUUGGACGGUAAUUAGUUAGAAAGUCACGGCUAACGACGUGCCAGCAGCCGCGGUAAUACGUAGGGGGCAAGCGUUGUCCGGAUUUAUUGGGCGUAAAGCGAGUGAAGGCGGUGCAAUAAGUCUGAUGUGAAAGCCUUGGGCUCAACCGGCGAAUUGCAUUAGAAACUGUUGAACUGGAGUGCAGAAGAGGAGAGUGGAACGCCAGGUGUAGCGGUGGAAUGCGUAGAUAUUAGGAAGAACACCAGUGGCGAAGGCGGCUCUCUGGUCUGCAACUGACGCUGAGGCUCGAAAGCAUGGGUAGCGAACAGGAUUAGAUACCCUGGUAGUC
rnacentral:rRNA from 1 species